rnacentral:tRNA from 1 species
AAAGAAUUAGUUAAAAAUAACAUAAAUAUGUCAAAUUUAAAUUAUUAUUUUAAAUAUAAUAUUCUUUU